rnacentral:lncRNA from 1 species
CCUCAACCUCCCAAAGUGCUGGGAUUACAGGCGUGAGCCACCACGCCCAGCCUUUGUUACUUUCAAGAAGAGCAACACAUCAUAGAAAGAGGUUUACUGGGCCAGGCAUGGUGGCUCACACCUGUAUUCCCAGCACUUGGGGAAGCCAAGGCGGGCAGAUCACCUGAGGUCAGGAGUUCGACACCAGCCCAGACAACAUGUGAAACCAUGUCUCUACUAAAAAUACAAAAAAAAAUUAGCUGGGUAUGGUGGCAGGCACCUAUAAUCCCAGCCACUCGGGAGGCUGAGGAGGCUGAGGCAGGAGAAUCGCUUGAACCUGGGAGGCAGAAGUUGCAGUGAGCCAAGAUCACACCAUUGCACUCCAGCCUGGAUGACAGAGCAAGACUCCAUCUCAAUAAAUAGGCUCAGCAAACUCCCGAGUUCCUGUGCUGCUGAAGAAGGCAUUGAGCAGAAUACAGAAAGACUGGGUAUAGCUUGGGUUUGAGAUGAAACACCAGCAAUGGAAGAUUCGCUCUGUUGUCUAUCAGCUUGCAUACUUUGAUGAAACAAGCUUCCAUGUUGAAGAGGACCAAGUGGAAGUGAAUUGAGGGCAAGCACUGGACAACAGCCAGAGAGAAAGUCCAAAGCCCAUUCCCCUAUAAGUAACUGAAUGCAGCCAACAACCAGUGAGUGGACCUGAAAGCUUUCCAACAGCCUUGUAAUGACUACAGUUGCAGCCAACAACAUGAUUUCAGCCUGCGAGAGACCUCAGCAUACCUGGAUUCCCGGACUACAGAAACUGAGCUAAUAAAUGUGUGCCAUUUUGAGCCACUAA